AGAGGAGCAGAUAACGAUACAAGCACAAAUCACGGCAGCACCAAAAAUCACAUUAAGCAAUGAUUAUUAGACUCAAUGACAUACUUCAACCCAGUUUAUGUUGUAUACUAAAAUCCUUUUAAUGUCACAAUAACUUGACAGCAAAUAAAAAAAAAGACAUAAAAAUUGCACCUGCACUACUGCAUCAUUCUUUGAAGCGAAAUCAAAGAUUCGGUCCCCUUGCAAUCUGUAUAUCAGCACCAGUUGUUUCUAUCAUUUCUGAAUCUACCCUACCUCCUCUUCCAAUCAAACAAGAGACCCUAUUUGAUGGCAGCAGAGGGUUGCUGUCACGGUAAUUUCCUCAAUCAAGCCCAAGGAACGAGCUCUUUCAAUGUCAUGCUCAAUAGAUCUAGCAAAGACAAGAAGAAGUGCAUUCUGUGCAGGAGAGUGGGAUGAUUCAAGGUUCUCCAAUGCAGAAACAGUAACUAGACGGUCAUCGGAGUUGGUUAUAGGAGGAGCAAAACUGAUAGAAGCACCAGUUUGAUUUUGCAGAGCUCUGACUACAGACCCUCCCGUGCCUAUGAUUCUCCCAGCUGCACCAUGGGAGCAGAUCAUCCUAAAUUGAACUUGUGAUUGUUCAUUAGGUUUCUUAUUGUCUCCAUCAGUUGCAAUAUUUUCAGAAUAUGUGGGUAGCAGGGAACACAUUGGUUCACCAGAGGAACCACUUCUUCUUCUCCUACCAGCUCCAAGGCUUAAAUCCACCUCAUCCUUCUCGUAUGGAGUACAAUCUUGAAGACCGCUAGUUACAUCAAGCACUGCUUUCUUUAUGGCCACAGUUCUACUCCCUGUAAUCUUUUUUUUUUUUUUUUUUCAUACACCAAUUUUUUCAAAUUUCAUUUCAGAUAAUUUAAAACUGCAAACAAGUGAAGAGAAAAUCUUCACCUGUGGCAACUGCAGCAAUGAGGAAGGAGUAUCUCGUACUUGAUCCAAUCUUUUUUCAAAGCUUGUUUCCUGAUUGGAAUCUAGAGAUUCACCAGCUGAUUGAUGCAACAUGGAGAUCUCCCCCGCUCUUCUAUAGGGGCUCCCUGUCCUCAAUCCAUUGAGCAUCUCGGUAGGCAAAAGAUUUCCCUCAGUUUACAGGUAACUUGAAACAGAGCAUUCUGUACAUUUUUCUCCUCGCCUGUAAUCUGCAAAACAUAUGACAGUUUAGGAAUAAAUCGCUAGGUAGGUGGCACCAAAGAUUUUAACCAGGUAGGUACGGGACUGGAAUUCAAAAAAAAAAAAGAAGACAUAAAUCUUCAAUAGAAGCACCAAAUGCUUUACCAUGUUGGCUGAUCACACUCCAUUACAAGGUAUAAACAUUCCAGUAUCUAUCUAUAGUUCUAUACUAGUUUUUAUCCUGGAUGAUCAAGAAAAAUCCUCUACUUUGAAAGCAUCAGGCAAUAUCAAAGAACAAAAGGCAACUGAUAAGUGACAGAACUCUUGGCACAUUUAAAAUAUUGCAUAUCUACACAACAAACAGCAAAUACAUCAAAAUUUUAUAUAAUAAGAUAAAUGGAAAACAAGUACAAAUACAACUGAAGUGCAGAGAACUGGUAGUGCUUUGAAAAUGUUACAAGAAGAGGUGAAAUUUGCUAACCAAACUAGAUGAUGACAACGACAGGUGAUGAAGAAGUGUUGAUUGUUCUUGCAGGGAGAGGAGCAGAUAACUGAUUACAAGCACAAAUCACGGCAGCACCAAAUAUCACAUUAAGCAAUGAUUAUUAGACUCAAUGACAUACUUCAACCCAGUUUAUGUUGUAUACUAAAAUCCUUUUAAUGUCACAAUAACUUGACAGCAAAUACAAAAAAGUAAGACAUAAAAAUUGCACCUGCACUACUGCAUCAUUCUUUGAAGCGAAAUCAAAGAUUCGGUCCCCUUGCAAAAUCUGUAUGUCAGCACCAGUUGUUUCUAUCAUUUCUGAAUCUACCCUACCUCCUCUUCCAAUCAAACAAGAGACCCUAUUUGAUGGCAGCAUGAGGGUUGCUGUCACGGUAAUUUCCUCAAUCAAGCCCAAGGAACGAGCUCUUUCAAUGUCAUGCUCAAUAGAUCUAGCAAAGACAAGAAGAAGUGCAUUCUGUGCAGGAGAGUGGGAUGAUUCAAGGUUCUCCAAUGCAGAAACAGUAACUAGACGGUCAUCGGAGUUGGUUAUAGGAGGAGCAAAACUGAUAGAAGCACCAGUUUGAUUUUGCAGAGCUCUGACUAUGGAUCCUCCCGUGCCUAUGAUGCUCCCGGCUGCACCAUGGGAGCAGAUCAUCCUAAAUUGAACUCGUGAUUGUUCAUUAGGUUUCUUAUUGUCUCCAUCAGUUGCAAUAUUUUCAGAAUAUGUGGGUAGCAGGGAACACAUUGGUUCACCAGAGGAACCACUUCUUCUUCUCCUAACAGCUCCAAGGCUUAAAUCCACCUCAUCCUUCUCGUAUGGAGGACAAUCUUGAAGACAGCUAGUUACAUCAAUCACUGCUUUCUUUAUGGCCACAGAGCUACUACCUGUAAUCUUUUUUUUUUUUUUCAAACACCAAUUUUUUCAAAUUUCAUUUCAGAUAAUUUAAAACUGCAAACAAGUGAAGAGAAAAUCUUCACCUGUGGCAACUGCAGCAAUGAGGAAGGAGUAUCGCGUACUUGAUCCAAUCUUUUUUCAAAGCUUGUUUCCUGAUUGGAAUCUAGAGAUUCACCAGCUGAUUGAUGCAACAUGGUGAUCUCCCCCGCUCUUCUAUAGGGGCUCCCUGUCCUCAAUCCAUUGAGCAUCUCGGUAGGCAAAAAAUUCUCCCUCAGUUUACAGGUAACUUGAAACAGAGCAUUCUGUACAUUUUUCUCCUCGCCUGUAAUCUGCAAAACAUAUAACAGUUUAGGAAUAAAUCGCUAGGUAGGUGGCACCAAAGAUUUUAACCAGGUAGGUACAGGACUGGGAAUUCAAAAAAAAAAGGACAUAAAUCUUCAAUAGAAGCUCCAAAUACUUUACCAUGUUGGCUGAUCACACUCCAUUACAAGGUCUAACAUUCCAGUAUCUAUCUAUAGUUCUAUACCAGUUUUCAUCCUGGAUGAUCAAGAAAAAUCCUCUACUUUGAAAUCAUCAGGCAAUAUCAAAGAACAAAAGGCAAACGAUAAGUGACAGAACUCUUGGUACAUUUAAAAUAUUGCAUAUCUACACAACAAACAACAAAAACAUCAAAAUUUUAUAUAAUAAGAUAAAUAAAUAAAAAACAUCCAAAUACAAUCGAUGCGCAGGGAACUGGUAGAGCUUUGAAAAUGUUACAAGAAGAGGUGAAAUUUGCUAACCAAACUAGAUGAUGACAACGACAGGUGAUGAAGAAGUGUUGAUUGUUCUUGCAGGGAGAGGAGCAGAUAACUGAUUACAAGCACAAAUCACGGCAGCACCAAAAAUCACAUUAAGCAAUGAUUAUUAGACUCAAUGACAUACUUCAACCCAGUUUAUGUUGUAUACUAAAAUCCUUUUAAUGUCACAAUAACUUGACAGCAAAUAAAAAAAAGUAAGACAUAAAAAUUGCACCUGCACUACUGCAUCAUUCUUUGAAGCGAAAUCAAAGAUUCGGUCCCCUUGCAAAAUCUGUAUGUCAGCACCAGUUGUUUCUAUCAUUUCUGAAUCUACCCUACCUCCUCUUCCAAUCAAACAAGAGACCUUAUUUGAUGGCAGCAGGAGGGUUGCUGUCACGGUAAUUUCCUCAAUCAAGCCCAAGGAACGAGCUCUUUCAAUGUCAUGCUCAAUAGAUCUAGCAAAGACAAGAAGAAGUGCAUUCUGUGCAGGAGAGUGGGAUGAUUCAAGGUUCUCCAAUGCAGAAACAGUAACUAGACGGUCAUCGCAGUUGGUUAUAGGAGGAGCAAAGAUGAUAGAAGCACCAGUUUGAUUUUGCAGAGCUCUGACUACAGACCCUCCCUUGCCUAUGAUGAUCCCAGCUGCACCAUGGGAGCAGAUCAUCCUAAAUUGAACUUGUGAUUGUUCAUUAG
rnacentral:lncRNA from 1 species